AUACUUCCCUGGUAGGGGAGAGUUGAUGACCACAGAGGUGGUUUUCCAGGAUGAGGUUUAUUGAUUACACUUGGAUGUGCUGACUUCUGCAAUUUUCCCAAAUGAGGAAAAUUCUACAUAGUCUUUGAUACUGAAGAUAGAGAUGGAGAUGGUGUUCACACUCUCCC